GUGUUCGAAGACGCCCAUGAUGUCACUCCUUUUGCACCAGCCAUACAAAGUACAAACCCUUAAAACGACCCUCCCAUUUUUCAGAUGAACAAGGAAUGGGAUUCCAUCAAAACUCAUGUCUCCAUGCAUUUUCUAUGCUAAUUUUUCAUUUCGUAUAGGACAUAAACUUCUGGGGCUCAGUGUAUUGUACCUACUUUGCAAUUCCGCACUUAAAAAGGAAAAAUUGAAGGAUCGUAGUAGUUGCUUCAGUUGCCGCAUUUCUACCUAUCCCAAGACUAAGCUUCUAUAAUGUAAGAUUUUCCAUCUACAUCUUUCAAAUCCGUCUGUUACUUCAAUUAAUAUCCAUUCUGUUUUCACAAUGUUUAUAGGCAAGUAAAGCAGUGUAUAGCAUGUAUGAGACAGAGGGUAGAAUUAGGAUCAGAGAUCGGAAUAACAAUUGUUAUUCCUGGAUUGAUCAAGUCAGAAAUGACACAAAAAAAAUUCCUAAACCAGCAAGGCAAAUUGGAAUUAGAUGAAGAAAUGUGAAGGGCAAUGAUAAAUCCGAUUCCAGCGGAGUCUACCACAGAGUGUGCCAAAGCAAUUGUAGAUGGUGCAUGCCGAGGAGAGAAAUACCUGGUUGAACCAGCUUGGUACCGUUCCAUAAUUUAUUUCAGGUACUUUUUCCCUGAUAUAGUAGAGUGGAGCAACCGUUUAUUUUUAAUCUUGACAAGAUCAAUCUACAACAGAUAGGAGUUGAGAGAAGUACUGAGAAGAUCCUCCAUCUAGUAACUAAAUGAAGGUCGGUCUUGCAUCUAUAACAUUUUAACCUUAUGCCCUGAAUCCAUAACGGAAGCUUCUUGCAUCAUGUAUGGUUGUAUCAUAGAAGUUUCCUUAACUAGUCUUGUAUUGCAUAAUGCCAGUCUAGAAAUUAUGUAUCUGUCUCAAGAAAUAAGUGAUAAAUUUAUGGGGAUAUCAUGAAUGAUUUAUUUUA